rnacentral:rRNA from 1 species
UACGGAGGAUGCGAGCGUUAUCCGGAUUUAUUGGGUUUAAAGGGUGCGUAGGCGGAUCGUUAAGUCAGUGGUCAAAUUGAGGGGCUCAACCCCUUCCCGCCAUUGAAACUGGCGUUCUUGAGUGGAAGAGAAGUAUGCGGAAUGCGCGGUGUAGCGGUGAAAUGCAUAGAUAUCGCGCAGAACUCCGAUUGCGAAGGCAGCAUGCCGGCUCCACACUGACGCUGAGGCACGAAAGCGUGGGUAUCGAACAGG